AAAGAGGAAGAGGGAGACAGAGAGAGACAGAAAGAGGAAGAGGGAGACAGAGAGAGACAGAAAGAGGAAGAGGGAGACAGAGAGAGAGGGGGGGUAAAUAACAGUAAACUGUUUCACCACUCCAGUCUACUCUACGGCUUCAGUCUCAGUCCAGGUCUGGAAGGUGGUGAAAUGUUUGGUGGAAAAGCAUUUCACUGGAAGUCCUUCACGGAAGAGGAGACUCUCAUCCAUACACAUUCAGCUCAUUUAGGAUUCUGGAGACUCAACCGCCGUGGGCGGGACGUCAUGCUGUUGAUUGAUGGGAUGCCUGAACGUCAGCGUCCAACCAGAGUCCCUGGAGCCUCAGAGAACGUCUCUGUCUGUGUUGUCCCCUCCUGAGAUAGACAGGGCGGUUCUGAAGAGGAAGAUGUUCGGCCCAGUUCCUUCGAGACCUCUAGAUAUACGCAACCCUGUGACCCAAACUCCUUCCAGCCCCAGACAGAGCCUGUAGAUCUGUCAACCAGCCGCUCCAGGACUUCUCCAACAUCCACAUGGUUCUCUCUGUGCCCCCUACCGUCCACCUCCAUCACCAGGCCUUCAUCAUCCUCCUCCUCCUCUGUCAUUACGUGUGUCCCGAAGAGUCCUGCUAUAUCAGGUCCCGGCAGGAGAGGCCUUUGGGGUUUUGUCAGAGGGUACCUCGUCACACCCCUCUCCUCCAGCCCUGCCCCUCUUCAUGCCCACCGUACGCCCGUAGUGGUGCGGCCCACACCCCUGCUCUACACCCACCCAGCACACAGCAGAACCCUGGCGGUAACCCGACGUCCACAUCACCGUGGUGACGGCCAGGACGAUGAGCUGCCAACCAUGAGACUGGACAGUGUGACAGAGAUGUGACAGGCUGUAACCAGACUGGGUCAUGAGUGAGUACCGAGAUGGGACGGGCUGUAACCAGACUGGGUCAGGGCUGACUACAGAGAUGGGACGGGCUGUAACCAGACUGGGUCAUGAGGGACUACAGAGAUGGGACGGGCUGUAACCAGACUGGGUCAUGAGUAAAUACAGAGAUGGGACGGGCUGUAACCAGACUGGGUCAUGAGUAAAUACAGAGAUGGGACGGGCUGUAACCAGACUGGGUCAUGAGUAAAUACAGAGAUGGGACGGGCUGUAACCAGACUGGGUCAUGAGUAAAUACAGAGAUGGGACGGGCUGUAACCAGACUGGGUCAUGAGUAAAUACAGAGAUGGGACGGGCUGUAACCAGACUGGGUCAUGAGGGACUACAGAGAUGGGAAGGGCUGUAACCAGACUGGGUCAUGAGUGAGUACAGAGAUGGGAAGGGCUGUAACCAGACUGGGUCAGGGCUGACUACAGUAGUCUUCCAUUCCACCUCUUCACUCCAUCUAGUGGCAAAAGAAGAGACCGUCAGAAAAUACCAUUUAAAUGUAUUGAAACAGUCUGGAUUUGUCCAAUAGGAGACAGCAACACAGUUCAUUGAUAAAUAGCAGGAUAAAAUGGGAUACAACGUGGUGUAAUGAUUGAUUGACUGAUUGAUUGAUUGAUUGAUUAACUGACUGAUUGAUUGAUUGACUGACUGACUGACAUAUUGAUUGAUUGACUGACUGAUUGAUUGAUUGACUGACUGACUGACAUAUUGAUUGAUUGACUGACUGACUGACUGACUGACUGACUGACUGAUUGACUGACUGACUGAUUGAUUGAUUAACUGAUUGAUUGAUUCAUUGACUGACUGAUUGAUUGACUGAUUGACUGAUUGAUUCAUUGACUGAUUGAUUGAUUCAUUGACUGACUGACUGACUGACUGAUUGAUUGAUUGUUGCAGCUCCAUCUUAGCCGGUGGUAUCCAGAGCAUGAGAGUAGGUCAUGUGACCAGGUCAGGGGGCGUGUCCACAGGUGUGAGUUUUACGGCUGUAACAAGGAGUACACCAAGAGUUCCCACCUCAAGGCCCACAGACGCACACACACAGGUGAGAAGCCGUACAAGUGCACGUGGGACGGGUGUACCUGGCGUUUUGCCCGUUCUGACGAGUUGACCCGCCACUACAGGAAACACACGGGGGUGAAGCCCUUCAGGUGUGGCGACUGCGAACGCUCCUUUUCCCGCUCAGAUCACCUGGC